rnacentral:rRNA from 1 species
GAUGAACGCUGGCGGCGUGCCUAAUACAUGCAAGUCGAGCGAACAGAUAAGGAGCUUGCUCCUUUGACGUUAGCGGCGGACGGGUGAGUAACACGUGGAUAACCUACCUAUAAGACUGGGAUAACUUCGGGAAACCGGAGCUAAUACCGGCUAACAUAUUGAACCGCAUGGUUCAAUAGUGAAAGGCGGCUUUGCUGUCACCUAUAGAUGGAUCCGCGCCGUAUUAGCUAGUUGGUAAGGUAACGGCUUACCAAGGCAACGAUACGUAGCCGACCUGAGAGGGUGAUCGGCCACACUGGAACUGAGACACGGUCCAGACUCCUACGGGAGGCAGCAGUAGGGAAUCUUCCGCAAUGGGCGAAAGCCUGACGGAGCAACGCCGCGUGAGUGAUGAAGGUCUUCGGAUCGUAAAACACUGUUAUCAGGGAAGAACAAAUGUGUAAGUAACUGUGCACAUCUUGACGGUACCUGAUCAGAAAGCCACGGCUAACUACGUG